rnacentral:rRNA from 1 species
UACAGAGGUCUCAAGCGUUGUUCGGAUUCAUUGGGCGUAAAGGGUGCGUAGGCGGCGCGGUAAGUCGGGUGUGAAAUCUCGGAGCUUAACUCCGAAACUGCAUUCGAUACUGCCGUGCUCGAGGAAUGGAGGGGAGACUGGAAUUCUCGGUGUAGCAGUGAAAUGCGUAGAUAUCGAGAGGAACACCAGUGGCGAAGGCGAGUCUCUGGACAUUUCCUGACGCUGAGGCACGAAAGCCAGGGGAGCAAACGGG